GAGCACCUAUUUACCCAUCUGAUUUGGUUCUUCAGAUUUCCAGUGCUGGGCUCUGGGAGGUAGGGAGAGAGGAAAAGGUCACAGAUGUUCCCCAUAGAAGGACUCUAAGUUAACUAGUGACAUCUUAUCUCAUCUUAUCUGAGAAAAGACUGGAUCUGCAUUUCCUCUCUCAGUGUCUGGAACCUUGCACUGCACCUGACCGAGCAAAGACCAAGUGGCCCCUGGAGGUUUGGCAAUCCUUGGCUUACUGGAGGAGCCAGAUGAAUGAGCUGUGCUCCAGGCCUGACAUACAGAGAAGAGCCCAGCAUUAAGGACACGAGAGAGCCAUAUUUAUUUCACAUGGACAAGCAUGAUUCCUUCGCAUGCUGAACAUGAAAGCUCGCGUUUGCUUUAAGAGAGGAAACAACCUAAAAAUUCAUCAGUAUGGCUUAAAUAAAUGAUGGACGAGUCAAUGAACAGAAAUAGGCGUACCUGUUGUGUACAGAAAGGGAAUGAUUUCCAAGAUACAGUGUUGAAUGGAAAAAGGCAAGAUACAGCACGUUCACCGAAAGGACACGUGACGGGUAAGAAUGACGCUUCUGGGGAGGGGCCUUGAGGUGGGGACAGAGUGAGGGGUCAGGGAUAAAUGAGAAUCCCUUUUAUUGGAUAACCUUUUAUGCUGCUUAAAAUUGUUAAUGUAUUUGUUGAUUACAUAUUCAAAAAAUACAAAAGCAAGCCACUGAAUAUUCUUCUGGCAAAAGAUAUUUCUCCAAACAUAUUAAGAAAAAAUUUUUUUUUUUUUUGGCGGGGGAUAGGGUGGGGGAGAAGGCUUGUUUUGUAGGAAUAGCAAGUGUGUUAGAAACGAGUCUUGAUGUCUUUCUCUGCUGCAACACAUCAGAAAUACAUCCUUGGUGUAAGCAUGAAACAGCACGAACUCCAGGCCAGUCAGGACCUCAGCCAGAAGCCAGGUAAUGCAACCUUCUCCUUAUUCUUUAGUUUCCUGGUUCUGCUGGAGACUUUAAGAGACAAUGGUGGGAAGCUCUGAAGUCUCCUUCCCCGAUGUGUCUCCUUCAGGCCUUGACGGAGGGGAAGAUUCCUUGGCUCCCACUUGGUUCUUCUCUCUGAAGGUCACAUUUUACACUUUAGACCACCCCAGGAAUUUUUUUUUUAAAUGCAGCUGUCCAGGGUCUAUCCUAGACCAACCGAUUAGAAAUAUAUGGGGCGGGUACUUUUUUAAAAAGCUCCUCAGGUGGUUCCAAUGCGGAGGCAGAGCUGAGAACCUCCCCUAGAUCAUGGUUUCCCCACUGCAACUCAUCUGCCCCCUAAGCAUUCCUCUUCCCCUCCUCUGGAGCACUCCCGCCUCCUAGUCGCUGUCUUCCCAGAUCCCAUCAUGCACUCCAUCCAACAGCCCAGCUCCAGAGCUCUUUAACCAAAAUCUCCACUUUCUCUUUCCUUUUAGCAACCCCUCCUCAUCUCAAUAUGUUGGGUCUUGUCAUUGGAACUGCCCCAAUUCUGAAACAGUUCCCCCCUUAAAUUCCACUCUAGGACUAUGGAGGGGCUGAAUGGUGGCCCUCCAAAAGAUAUGUCCACUCAGAACCUACGACUGUGACCUUACUUGGAAAAAGGGUCUUUGCAGAUCUAAAGUUGAAGAUCUCAAGAGAUGAACCCAGGCAGGCCCUACUCCAACAAGCAAACCCCUUAUGGUUCUUCCAAAUAAGUGCUCCACAUUCUCACCAGGAGCCCCCAACAAUACUCCUGUUCCUCCGCACACAGCUCCUUCCUCCUUCCCCUCCUCCACCUCCGGACUGUUCUCUGCACCCAUCCUGUGUCCCUCCCACUGGCCCUAAUGACAAGGUGGGCUCACUGAUCUGUCCAUCUGUGUGCGCAGAUCCCCUCCCCUGGCACCUGCAAACCCACUGUGUACCUGACAGACGGAUACAACUGCUAUCCUGCUUCCAGGAUGGACCCCUGUGAGUUGAAAGUUUAGUAUUUAUUAAUACUGAGUAGGCCAAUUAUUUUUUAAAAAUAGUAUAUCAUUAUUAGCAAUCACAAGUGUACAUGAAUAGAAUUCCUUGGCUGGAUUUCCUCAGAAAUGUGGCUAUAGCAUAUUCUGACCCUGGCACACCCUGUAAUUAGGCGCUGGCCUUUAGGACAAGAGCGGACAACAUUAUACCGAGGUGAUGGUGCGCUGAAGGUUAAGGACUUUCUAUGGGGUUACUGAUAGAAAGGUUUUCUCCAACACAAAAGGUUGACUUGACAAGCUACUCAACAAAAUUUCUUUGCAAUACCCUUUAUCACACUAACAAAUACCCAAGAGAGAAAUGUGUGGCACAGUCUCUUCUCAACAGACUAAGGAGAGCUACUUUUGCCAGGAGCACCAAUGAACACCUCUCUGUUACCAGUUUAGGAGAAUUCUGACCAAUUCCAGUGAUCUCCGGAGUACGCCAUCAUGCCCCGAGCUGUGCGCUGAAGGCAAGCCCUGCCCUUCCCAUUCCUAACUGGCAUCUCAGCAGCAAAACCAAGUUACAGAUACUGCGGAGACACUCACACCAGACGGCAAACAACCUCACGCAAGCGUCGUCACGCCAUGAGCCAAAUGGCUCCUGUGCCUGGUGCGCUUUCUCCAUCCCUUCCAUUCCUGCUUCUCCUUAGAUCAUCGGGAUAGACAGCUGGAGGCCGGUGACGACCAUGGGCAAGGAGACCCCACAUAUUCCUCGUUGCUCUGGGCAUGGACAGGUGUCGGGUGUGGGGGGGGGCAACAGACGUUUCCUCGAGGCUUACUUUCCCUCUUCACAUCAUUGUUUACAUUUUGCUUACCUGUUUCCAGCUGCUAAUAGCUGAACUUUUCUCUCUCAGUUCUGGCCUCCUUUCCUUCCUAGGUUGCUCUGCACAAAUUACUGGAAGAACCGUCUGACACCCCACAGUCUGGACUCACUCACCUCCCAUCUGUUAGCGUGAUCUGCUCGGUGGCAAUUUUCCCUACAUCUGGCAACAGCCCCCAGAUUUCUUGCGGAGGAACUCCCACUCCUGCUUUGGAUAAAAUCCUGGCAGGCCAAGGGGGUGGGUGCGUGACUGAAGCUAAGACAACCAGGGCCAACUGUGUCAUGGAGACUGGAGACUGUGGGACUGAACCCUCCAGGCAAGCACGGGAGCCUGGAAGGGCCUCUGCACUGGCCUCUUCCACCAAAUCCCUCUGUCUGCCUUCUCCUCUCCUCAUUUAUUUUAGAGAGAGAAAGAGCG